rnacentral:rRNA from 1 species
AACGUAGGGGGCCAGCGUUGCUCGGAAUUACUGGGCGUAAAGGGUUCGUAGGCGGUGCGGCAAGUUGGGGGUGAAAUCCCCGGGCUUAACUCGGGGGCUGCCUCCAAAACUGCCGUGCUCGAGUGCGGGAGAGGCGAGUGGAAUUGCAGGUGUAGCGGUGAAAUGCGUAGAUAUCUGGAGGAACACCCGUGGCGAAAGCGGCUCGCUGGACCGCAACUGACGCUGAGGAACGAAAGCUAGGGGAGCAAACAGG